rnacentral:lncRNA from 1 species
CGACGAUGACGACAACGACGAGUAUGCGAAGAAAGCCUCACCGAUCGAGGAGGAGACGACUUUUACAAAACGAUCAGCGUAAUAACGACGCGCAUUGAACCGUACGUGACGUGGAAGAUUUUCUAUCCUCGUAAGAAAAUACUUUUUUAAUGAUCACCAAAGACGAGUGCACAUUAUUCUUAACGUUUGAUAGAAAAAUAUUGUUCAAAAUAAUAUUAUAGAGACGAAUAAAAAUAUAAUUGCAAUAGAAAAUCUGAUGUGUUUUAUGUUAGACCAGGAACGAGGUAAGACGGAAAAAGAUGGAUAGAUGGAUA